rnacentral:rRNA from 1 species
AACGAACGCUGGCGGCAUGCCUAACACAUGCAAGUCGAACGAGACCUUCCGGUCUAGCUGCGUACGGGUGCGUAAGGCGUGGGAACCUGCCCUUAGGUUCGGAAUCACUCCCAGAAAGGGGUGCUAAUCCCGGAUAAUGUCUUCGGACCAAAGUUUUAUGGGCGUCGUAUGUGCCCGAGUUGGGUUGGCUAGUUGGUAGGGUACAAGCCUACCAAGGUGACGAUCCAGAGGUGGUCAGAGAGGAUGAUCAGCCACACUGGGACUGGGACACGGCCCAGAAUCGGACGGGAGGCAGGAGAGGGGAAAAUUGGACAAUGGGCGAAAGCCUGAUCCCGCAUGGCCGCUGGAGGGAUGAAGGCUGUAGGGUUGUAAAGCGCUGUUACCCGCCAUGAUAAUGAGAGUACCGGGGGAAUAAGCCCCGCCUAGCUCCGU